CCCCCGCGCCACCUGGAGCCAGGCGUGAGCCCUCCCCGCCCACCUGCCCGCCCCGCGGCACCCAGAGCCGCUACAUUCUCCAGAAAUUCUGUCCUUAAGGCUAAAAUCCUGUAGUGAAAGAGAUCAACAUAAUCAUAUAAUUGCAUUAUUAAAACCUUUACCGUCAUGCCUAUUCUUAUGCAUAAAGGUUGCACAUUAUGUACAAUAUUUAGAGUAGUGUAAGGAGGCUGGAAUAAUUGUGGUCGUUGAUAUUGUGUUGCAAAAUGUAAAAAAGGAAAUGUGAUUAUCAUAGUAUAUAUUUAAAAAAAAACUUUAUUGCGUGCACUUUGUUAGUGAGAGCUUUAUGAAUAGGAUCUUUACAGGCAUGUAAAGGAACUGAGGCUGCCUGUGUAUGGAUAAGAGGAGAGAGAACUUGGGUAUGUUCUAGUUUGCUGAGCUGCUAGUGAAGGAAGGAAAGACUUGAACUUGUGCAGUUUAUUUUUUUUUGUCUGUUUAUUUUCCAUUAAUAACAUUUGAAUCCCUUAGCUAGCACCAGCCACAAAAUGUUUAGAAAAAUAAUCUGGAAAGGAGCAUGUCACCCUUCAAAAAAGUGGCAACAUGAAUGGCAAUGCCCAUUACACAUUCAAGAAUCCAUCCACAGAGGACUGCCAUCUGAAGCAUGAGUUAACAGAAAUCAGGGCAAGUUUUUCAGAUUCAGGAGAGAAUACUUUGUCACGUGUUUGUAAAGCAGCCAGGUCUCUACAGUCUCUGGGCAGAUUCUGGCACUGUACUCAUAAGGAGCACUCACGGUGACAGAGAACACAGCACAUUGUAACUACAGGACUUUCACUCGACUGUGAAAGAUCUCUAUCAAGCCUCACAGAGAAUUUGAGGCAGCUGGCAGUUAUCAGCUGAAGCAGGUAGUCAGUAGAAGUGCAAAAGAUAAAUAGAUAAUUGAAAACCAAUCUGGAAACCUGGGAGAGAUAAUAAGCCUCUCUUCUAGAAGGGAGCCAACAACUCAGGUAGGUCACUGAUGAAAUCAACUCCCAGAUCAGGUUGUGUCUAAUACUACUGAAAAUACAGUGGCAGUUCAUGCCUAUCAUGACUGAAGUAGUAGGCAAGUUGUUGGAAAUGUGGUUUGGCGUAUUCAGUUAUACAAAUCAAUAUUGCACUAGAAUGAAGAAGGAUCAUACUGCUGAAAGACAGGUGACCAAAAUCCUAGGAGCACCAUGGCCCUCUGCUAAAUUGCAGUUGCCAAAAUAGAAAAGUAGUUCCACCCCCUUCUUACCCUCCAUGCUGCUUUAUCUGCCAUGCAACCAUUACAUAGAAUUCCUGCCAUACUGACCGUAGUCCUCUGUGGGGCAAGUGAUUACUUUUUCAUGUGAUUUCUAUUUAUAUUAAGAUAAUGGAACUAUUCAUGUUUUCUCUACCAUGAGCACAGAGAAUAGAGGGGAAGGCUCAUGUCUACAAGUAAAAGAAUGUGUAGAUCUUAGUCACUCCAUUUUAAAAGUCUUAAAAACAAUCUUUCUCUUCAAGUCACUCUUAUGAUUCUCAAAUUCCUGUCUGCAGAAAAAUGUGAAAUCUUGCAUGAACAUGUAAGGAAACUGGUACCAUUUGGUAACUCUUCUUGCUGGGUUCUGAGAUCUUGUAGAACUAUAUUGGUGGUAGGGAGAUAGCACAGGGAGAUAUUUUUGUGAGAGCAGGCACAGAGAAGAAGUCUUUGGAAUAUUGCCAAAAAGAAAGUAGCAUUUUUCCACCAGAGAAGUGUUUGAAUUGUUCUGCUGACAUGUCUUUAUUUUGUUAAACAACUCAGGUGGACCACAGGAAAUAGCUGAUGACAAUGUAAUAUUAAUUCUUGUGGAGGUGAACAGAACAACAAAAAAACAAAAAACCAACCAACCAAAGAAAGACUUCUGCUGCUCUUUGCUUUAAAAGAUGCUUUUUAAAAAUUUUUCUACAAGACACAUUUAAAAAUCUGUCUACAAGAAUUAUAAAUAAUUUUGUGCAUUUACACUGGAAGAGCAUAAAGCAAAACACAUGCAUCAAAUAUUUCUAGAGUGUUAGUUGCUACAGUUGCAGUACUAGCUAAGAAAGCAACAUAUUAGAUUAAAAAAAUCCAUUAACAAAAUUUACAUGUGUCCAUGUUGCUGGUUGCAGAAAUAAUAUGAGUCAUUUGAGCAGUCUAUGUAAUUCUUAAAAAGUAAUGGAUGUACAUGUUUUUAUUUUUUAUGUAUUGUUUUAAUAUUUGUUUUACUAUGAUACUGGACAUUAAUUACUUGUGUACUUCUGUAAAUUCUGUUCUAAGUAGUGAUUGUUGAGGAUAUUUUUCAUAUCUCAUUCUGUGACUGCUAAAACAAAAAAAGAUCAAUGGCUUGAAUUCUGCUAAAAUUUAUUGUGGUCUAGGGUGAGGCUUUAGUGGAGAUUAAGAUGUCUUAGACACCUAUAUGGAAGGGCUCAAGUGUCAGCUAUAUGUAUAAACUCUUGUUCUGGACAACAAUCAGUGCAAUCUGUGCACCCUAUCAGCGCCUUGUCAGCUGACAAACUGCUUUGCAUAUGUUUCAGAGUGAGAUGGGUUGUUCUCUAGUCUCCAUCUGAAUACAGAGAAAAAAUAUGGCAUCGUGUGAAAUGUAGUCAGUUUCUGUCUUGCCAUUCUCUACAGGAUGAAAUUCCCAGAAACUGGAAAAAUAUUAUACUUUGAUCAUUAGAUUCCUGACAAAAAUAGUGAAAAGAAUUUUCUUGAGUUUCUCCCAAAGAUAAAUUAGGAGUAUGUAAAAUUGUCAUUUGCUGUGACUCAUGCACAUCAUACAACUCUGUACUCUAAGGUGGUAACACAUAUUUAGCCAAUUAACAGCAAUCUUGGAUAUCUUCAUAUGCUAUUUCUGAAAAUGACUAUCACUGUAAUGAUGUCAGUUCUUGGAUCUCUUGGGCUUAUUCAAUACAUUUAAGAUAUUAACAAGAUUAUUUGAGUUGGUAGCCUGUGAUAAUGGGAGACUGCAUUUGUGGAUGCAGAAGGUUAUUCUCAAUUUGGUGUCCAAGUGUCUUAUUUACCUGUUCCAUGUGAAUAAAAUACUUGCUGUAAACUUAAGUUUUUUGUUU
ensembl:lncRNA